UUGUUUCGGAGAGUUUGAUCCUGGCUCAGGACUAACGCUGGCGGUAUGCCUUAGACAUGCAAGUCGAACGAGUUUCCGGGCUUGCUCGGAAACUAGUGGCGAACGGCUGAGUAACGCGUAGGUGACCUACCCCGUAGUGUGGAAUAACUGCCCGAAAGGGUAGCUAAUACCGCAUGUUGAGCCGACAUCAAUGUCGUCUCCAAAGCAGAAAUGCGCUAUGGGCGGGGCCUGCGUUCGAUUAGCUAGUUGGUGGGGUAAUGGCUCACCAAGGCGACGAUC
rnacentral:rRNA from 1 species